UACAGAGGUCCCAAGCGUUGUUCGGAUUCAUUUGGGCGUAAAGGGUGCGUAGACGGUUUUGUUUAAGUCCGUUUGUGAAAGCCCUGGGCUCAACCUGGGAAUUUGCAGUGGAUACUGGCGAGCUAGAGUGCGGUAGAGGAUGGUGGAAUUCCCGGUGUAGCGGUGAAAUGCGUAGAUAUCUGGAGGAAUACCGGUGGCGAAGGCGGCAUCCUGGACCGGCAUUGACGCUGAGGAGCGAAAAGCUAGGGGAGCAAACGGGGAU
rnacentral:rRNA from 1 species